UACGGAGGGUGCAAGCGUUAAUCGGAAUUACUGGGCGUAAAGCGUGCGCAGGCGGUUUGUUAAGUCUGCUGUGAAAUCCCCGAGCUCAACUUGGGAAUUGCAGUGGAUACUGGCAAGCUGGAGUACGGUAGAGGAAGGUGGAAUUCCCGGUGUAGCGGUGAAAUGCGCAGAUAUCAGGAGGAACACCGGUGGCGAAGGCGGCCUGCUGGGCAGUAGCUGACACUGAGGCGCGACAGCGUGGGGAGCAAACAGG
rnacentral:rRNA from 1 species